GCUGAUUAGCUAGUUGGUGAGGUAAAGGCUCACCAAGGCGACGAUCAGUAGCUGGUCUGAGAGGAUGAUCAGCCACACUGGAACUGAGACACGGUCCAGACUCCUACGGGAGGCAGCAGUGGGGAAUUUUGGACAAUGGGGGAAACCCUGAUCCAGCCAUUCCGCGUGAGUGAAGAAGGCCUUCGGGUUGUAAAGCUCUUUCAGGAGGGAAGAAACGGUUGCAGCUAAUACCUGCGACUAAUGACGGUACCUUCAGAAGAAGCACCGGCUAACUACGUGCCAGCAGCCGCGGUAAUACGUAGGGUGCGAGCGUUAAUCGGAAUUACUGGGCGUAAAGCGUGCGCAGGCGGUUUUGUAAGUCAGAUGUGAAAGCCCCGGGCUCAACCUGGGAACU
rnacentral:rRNA from 1 species